UGAUGAUCAAAGGCUUGAACUUCAACCAGCGGGUUCAUCAACAGAGACAGACAGCACCCCCCGCCCCCGCCGCUAUUUCAGAGGGAGAAAGAGAAAGAACUGAACGAGGAACGACGCUAUGGAAAUGGUGAUUAUUAUUAUUAUUUUUUUAAAAAAAGCAAAACAUUACUCCUCUAGAGGCAUGCAAACUGCAGUACAAAAUAAUAUAUAUAUAUUAAAAAUCCAAGAGCUCCUCGUUGCAAACCCCAUAGCAGGGAUGCAACGCAAAGAUGAUCAAAGGGGAUUUGAGGGGGUUGGGGAGGGGAGAGAGGAGGGGAAGAGAGGUGAGAAACCAUGUGGAAGAAAGUUGGGGGGAAAAGUUUAAGAGGGAGACAGGACCCGAGCAGCGUCGGGACGAGGCGGAAAAGCGGUCUUCUCCCCCCUCCGCACCUCUCCGCCCGCCCUUAAAAAAUAAAUAAAAAUAAGCACCGGUUGGUGCGAAAACUAGUCGGCUUCCAGAGAGGCUGAUUCAAUAGUGUCCAAGUUGCAAAGGAUGCGGGGGGGGGGGAGGAGAGAGAGAAACAGAGAGGAAAAGAUUGAAAUAAAAAUGAUGGGGUUUUUUCCUUCCCUUUUUAAAAAAUUGCAAAGACAAAAUCUCUCCAAGCGCGUCCUUACAAUAAACUGUGGGGGAGGAGGGGAGGGCUUAAAGGUCUUCGGGAGACGCCGAGAGGGCUGCGGCGAGUGGGUUGGCUCCUUACCUGCUGCCCGUUUGGGUGCCUGCUGUUUCCUCCUUGGCAUCGCUGUACUUUCUCCAAUCUCACUUCUCUUUCCAGAUCCGAGGAGCCUUGGAAGCUCGCGGGGCUUGUUUUCUGUCUCUCUCUCUCUCUCUCUUUCUGUGUGUGUGCGUGUGUCUGUGUUUUUUUUUCCCCUCUCCCUUCCCCUCCCUCCCUCUCUCUCUCUCUCUCCCUCUCUCUCCCUCUCUCUUCCUUUCCUCCCCUCCGCCGCUUUGCCUCCUCAGCGACCCACCGCCGGCAGCACUAAGCACCCGUCUCUCUUCUUUGGCACUUCUCUGACGAGAUCAACCUGUUCGGAUUCUGAUUCUUAGGAUUUAAUUUUAAAAAGGAAAGGGAAACCGGGAUGGGGUGGGGGGUGGGGAGCGGCUGCUUUUCUAUCUAUCUCUCUUUUUUGGUCUUGUUUGAACUGUUGCAAGACUUGCUUUGAUGCAAAACAUCCAGGAACAUCAAAUGCAAAAAAGAAAAAAAAAAAGGUGCCGGGAUUUAUUUUGUUUUUGUUUUUUGAAAAGUGAUCAAUAAAUAGCAAAAUAUAGAUAUGAAAAAUAUUUUUUUUAAAAAAAAGCAGCUCAGGCGGUUGUUUUCCCCCCCUAUUUCCUCUCUUUCCCUCUCACCCCCCUUUCUCUCUCUCUCUUAUUUCUCUCCCCCCCCCCUUUCCUCGUCGCCUCCUUCGCGUAGAUCUAUAUGGCGGAUUGGUGAGUGUUGGCUGAGAAAACUGCAGGUUUGUUGCUGUCAGAUGCCAGGUUGUGAGUGAUAUGGAAGAGGACAGAGAAGCUUUGGAUGGGAGGAAAUCUGGUGUUCACACACACACGCACAUCCACACACAUCCACACGCACAUCCACACACGCACAUCCACACACACACACACACACACAGGCACAAGCACAGGCAGGGCGAGGCGAUGCCAGCGAACAUCGAUCCACUGAGCAAACUGUACAUUAACAAACUCCUCCUCCGCGACCUGAUGACAGGAUGAAAUUUACUCCGAGCAGACAGAAGGCAGUCAGUUUAUUAAAGAGACAGGGCUUUGCUGAUCACAGGCACUUCGGCGGGAGGGGGACGGAAGGAGCGAAAGAGACCACCUUAUUCAAGCAAUCGCUCCUCCUCCAGUGCCAACCUGUUUGUUUACUCAACUCACCUCUCUCCUCACCCCCCCCCAUAAUAUGAUCCUUUCCUGGCUAGCCCCCCUUUCCCAUCACUGCAGGAAACUGGACCAAAUUGUGACAACCUCCCCCCCAUCCCAAUCAGGGCACUGGAAGAUCGAUUUCAUGCAGGAUCCAGCCUUGACAAGCAGCUGAUCAGGUGAAGUGGACAGUGCAUCUGAGCAUGUUCAGAGUGCCUCUCCCUUGCCAAGGAUUGCCUGAGAUAUCUAUACCCCUGCUCUCACAGAUACACCAUCCUGAAUAUUAGAAAGGGUUUAAAAACAAAAAAAACCACACACCCUUCUAUCUGAUUCCCUCUCUUUCAGGCACACAGUUGGGAGGAUGGUACAUGAUAAAGUUCUCUCUUUCCCACACUUUUGAAAAUAGAUUGCUGACAAGUUCUCACCAUCAGAGAACGACACCCAGGAGGUGUUGGGUUGCCUCUGGAACAAACUGUAUGAAGUUUCCUUUAUUUCCUUUUCCUCUGUUUCGCCCAGGUGUUUGGCGGCGAUAGCCAGAUGAAGGCUGUAGCUGCUUGCAGCUGGUAGGCAAUGAGAGAAAACUCCUUGAAGUGGAGGAGGCUAUGGAGAGGUGAGUGGGAGGAGGAGGAGAAGGAGGAAGAAAGAAAGAGGGUGAAACAAGGGCAACAGGAUCCUUGAGGCUUUCCCUCCAAGAGCAUCGCUUUGGCAUAGGAAGGAGAAGAAACAAAAUGCGUGGACGCCACAACAUGUGCAUUUGGACAAGUGUACACAUCUGGUGGGAGCCUCCUGCCAGUCGCAGCUUCCUGCUCUGUGUACACCAAAUCUCAGUGCACACGUGUUUGUCCGCCACACGAUAUGGCAUACAUGCAGCUUGGCCACCUGGAAGUGAUAACCGUGAAGGAAAUCAUCUUGUGUGAAGUGGCCCGAAGGAGGAAGUAACAUUACAGUCCCACUUAUCGGAGAGUGAUCCAGAUAUAUUGGAAACAUCUGGAGGAGCGGCAGUUUUGGACGCGAUUGUACAUUCAGCUGCAUUAAUGGAGAACAGAAGAGGAUGAAGAAAAAAAGCAGGGAGGUGUCUGAGGUAGCUGGGAGAGGCCAUUUGGUGGAGUGGAUCAUACAAAGCUGGUCUAGGAUCAGUGAAGAAUCGAGGCUGUCUCGUGCCACCAUCAGCCACUGAUUCACCAGAAUCUCCACAUCACCUUCUCUGUACAAUGAGAUGGGGUCCUUGUCUUUUGGUGUGCAAUAGAUUUAAAUAUCCACAAAUGUGCAAUAGUUAUUCAGUGGGCCAGGACCAAGUGCUAAAGCUUUUGUGCAUCAUACCACUUUCAGCAACACAGUUGUUUUCCGGGAGUAAUCCGCCCCCCCAUAAAUAACAGUCAAAGAUGCAUCUAACAAGAGCUAUAGACAAAAGAAAGCCUUACCAAUUCUCUGCCAAAGAAGCAAGUCUCCGUUUAUGUUGCUGGAGCUCUUGACAUUUUUUCUCGUGACAAUGCUCCUUUUGCAUGAUACUCUGUUUUCCCCUGUAUUCAGUCCACAGUUAUUUUGUCAAUGGGAACGUGAGAUUCUGCCACCCCAAACUAGAAGCUCCAUCGCAAUUAUGAGCAGGAUGUGGAAUGUAGUUGUCAAACUGAGUUCAUGGGGAUCCCUUUGGACAAAAGCUUUGACGAGAAAUCUUGUUUCUUUCCAGUGCCAUUUGGGUGAGCUUUGGAUCUUGUAUUUUAUUUUUCUUUAUUUAAAGCAAAGAUUUCAUCUCACCUUUUAUCAAGUUUUUUUUUAAAACAAACAAAUAAAUAAAUUGCAAAUGUUAUUGAUUAAAAAAGCAAUUAUGAAACAUAAAAUGUUGCUUUCUAGGACAGAUGCAUCUACAGAUGUUAGGUCUUGUAUGCAGUCACCCACAUGGCAUCAAAACAGACUUGGAAAACCUGUUACAUUACAGAUUAAGCUCACAUUCGCAAGGUAUACUUCAGUAUAAAGCAUUAAUUUCUCCCUAGAAACUAUCAAGGGGGCAUAGACAUUAUCAAGGGGUUAAUCAAUGUAUUAAAAAUCAAGACAAGUCUCAUGAUAAAAGAAGCAGGGAGUGUAAAAUGAAGACAAGCAAAUGUUCCAUUAGAAUAUUCUCUUGGGAGCCACCCAGAAUGGCUGGGGAAACCCAGCCAGAUGGGCGGGGUAUAAAUAAAUUAUUAUUAUUAUUAUUAUUAUUAUUAUUAUUAUUAUUAUUAUUAUUACAGCCUUUGACAACUGUCUAGAUGAUUUGAACUACAAUGCCCACCAGUUUCAGCCAGUACAACCAUAUGCAAAGGCUAUUAAAAUAAUGGGAUAAUAAAAUUAUAGUCAUUGGACCCCACCCCCCAAAUAUACUGUAAAUUCACUCAAGACUACAGCAGCCAGGUCUGAUAUUUGGUUGGGGAAGCCCACUUUUCCGUAGUAAACUCCCCUAAGACUUGGGAGUCAAGUUUUCUUGCCUCCUAGACCAGGCAUCCCCAAACUCGGCCCCCCAGCUGUUUUGGGACUACAACUCCCAUCAUCCCUAGCUAACAGGACCAGUGGUCAGGGAUGAUGUGAACUGUAGUCCCAAAACAGCUGGAGGGCCAGGUUUGGGGAUGCCUGUCCUAGAAAAGGCCCCAGGGACACCAUCAGCACCACAACAGAAAAUAAGCUUUGCUCCUCUCAUCCAUUCUAUGAUGCGACACCUUCUUAACAAAUAAACAUUUCCAACAGGUGACUGGGGGCAGGGGAAAGAGAAUGACCACAAAAUGCAAUUUCUGAACUGGUUUAUUAUGGAUGUUAUCAGUUUUGUUUUGUUUUUAAUUUGCAUAAUUUUAUUCAAACUUUCCUCUUUUAUCUUCCACCCCAUUUAGCACCCUUAGAUUCUGAACCCCUUGGAGACUCCCCUAUUAAAGUUUGGUGGAAUCCUUGAUUACCCUUUAGUCCCGGGAAAUUAAAGUGAUCAAACUGAAACACCAGUGUGCCUGAGAAACAGAACUUUCCACAACACAACAUUAGUUAAAUAUGAAGCUUUUUUCACCCCUCUAGCCCAGAUUUUGGGCAGAAACGACAUUUUAGGAGGAUUUUCAAUAGGUAAAAGGCAUGUGUUUCUGUGUGAUGCAUGACCUUUUGCCACACACAACCUGCAGGACCAGACCAAAUACCUUUCUGGGUUCAGCAUUCUGCUCUCUCAGCUGCUGCCAGAUGUCUAUGGAAAGCCCACAAGAAGGAAAUGAGCAUGAUAGCUGCCUGUCUCCCAGUCGUGAUGGGGAUCAUAACUGAUGGGGAUCAUAAGUAUACAGCUUAAAGGGUUUUCUACAAUCAAGCAGUAUAAGAAACUUAUGAAAGAAAUCAUAAAUAAGCACUGUUUUAGAGCACCUAUAAAAUAAAUAGUGCAUUCCAAUAAAGCAUUAAGAGAGAGAGAGAGAGAGAGAGAGAGAGAGAGAGAGAGAGAGAGAACUAGCUUUUCUUGGUGAAGAAAAGACACUUUGAAGAUGCUCAGUGGCACUCUUUACUUCACAUAAUCUAGAACUGAGCAUAGCUGUUAAGCAAUUUUGAAGACUGUGAGCUACUGUACUGACCUUAGAUCAAAUCAAUCCCUUCCUAACAACCCUUGUGGAAGUAAACAUUGUGGAAGUAAACACUGGAGUUACAAUUUACAGGCAUAAGUGCCCUGAAGUAGUCUGGCAAACACUUGCUUCUAGGUUCAUCUCUUUUGUUCCUAUCUUGAUGCAGCUGGUCAUGUAAAUUGGCACGGAUACAGGUGCUGCAGAAUAAUAAUCCUGCAUUUGUAAGAACUAGGACACAGGUGUGGGAAACACCUUGGAACUCCCUGCCUAUUGAUAUAAAGCAGCUGUCUUCAAUGUAUCCUUUCCAAUGCCUGUGGAAAAUAUUCUUGUUUAGAUAAGCCUGUCCAGAUUAGAAAGUUGAGAUAAUUUUAGAAUUCUAACUUUUAUAUGGUUCAGGGUAUGGUUGUAAUUUUACUGUUUUAUCUUUAGUAAAAAGUUUUUUUUAAAAAAAAAUCUAGCAAUGUAUACAUUUUAAGAAUAAAUGAACAAACAAUAUCAUUUUUCCCCCCUCCAGAGGUGGAGUAAAAUAUGAGAGUCAGAUGCGGUUGCUAUUAAGUACUGCAAUAAAUGCAGCACGUAGCACACUUGCGUCAAAUCAACAAAGCCACUUCUUGUGGAGGUGGUGCAUACAAGCAAAUGCAAACUUGUUAGUAAUAAAUACUUAUUUAUCUUACAAGACCAUUUCUGGAUUGCCUUUGAGCCCUAACAAAGACCUCGGCCCCCUGCAAGGCAUUUUACAGUCAAGUCAAAACCAACAGAGCCAAUAAAACCACGGCAAUAAUUUUAGUGUUUCAGGGAAUGUGGCUGCAGGGGAGAGUGAGUGGGUGGGUGGGUGGGCCGGUUGACGUUGGUUGGGGAAGGUAAAGUGGGCAGACAAUUUCUGAGGUUGGUUUGGCCUAGAAAAUAAGCCAAGGCAUUUUCCAGUUCUUGCUUUUAACAGACGCUUGGCUUGUUUUCCAAGCUGCUGCAAUGUGGAGCCCAGGGAAAGUCACCCAUUUGUGCUGCAGACUCAGGCCAAAGAUAUAAAUCACUUGCCCUAAAAAUUAAACGAGGGUUGAUAGCAUAUUAUGAGGAGAAAAAGCAGCUAAAACAAUUGCAAUCACACAGCAUCACCACCAGACCACCAUUAUUAUUAUUAUUAUUAUUAUUACUAUUAUUAACAAUUUAAUCUUGCAAGGGUUUGAAACUUGCUGUGAGUCUACUGAAAUAACAUCAUGGCAUGUUUCCCUCCACUGAAAUCCGAACAGACACUAUCUGCACUUUUAGGGUUGCCAUUUGCAAUUUUGCCCAAAAAGCUCAACAACCCCCCCUCCCUCAGUUCAUUUUCACUGUUGGAAAUAUGGCAGCCCUAUGCACUGUUGUGGUUUCUGAAGACCUUUGGUACUUGAGACACUGGAUUGAUUUUUCUCAAUUUUUCCACAUUUCUUUGGAAUGCUCCAAUUAGACUGUGUCUAAUUUUUCAGCUUUCAGAUACCCAAAAUGAGGGGUACUAAAAACACAACUUGGGAAUUCAAAAUAUAUUUUGGUUAAAUUAAUAUAAUUUAGUUUUGCUUGCUAAGUGGAAUGUGUGUAAAAUUGCACAGAAAUCAUUUAAAAUGAUUGUCAAGUACUUGCCAUUAUACAUUGAUAUUAUUUUUACAUAGUUAUUAUUAUUGCAAUUAUUAUUGCAUUACCUGACAUUUCCAGAAGGUAAAAAAUUAAAAUCCUUUGGUUUUCCGAAAGUAGUUUAUGUGCUUUUUCACCAAGCAUAGACUUAGCAAACGAAAUGUUGUCCAUUUACAAAAAUAAUUGCAGAUUUGAAUUCUUCUCACCCAAACCAUAUUUUUAAGACCCCUCACUGAAAUGUGCAAAAAUUAAGUUUCACCCCCUAAAAUGGCACACCCAAAUGCUCCAUUUCACAUGUGGUGCCACCUUUCGUGCCGAAGGGGUCCAAAUAUUGUGGAUAUAAUAUGGAGAAAUCCCAUGUCAUAAUUUGUUUCAGUACUGCGGAUUUUACUUGAAAAGGUUCUUUUCAUAAGAGGUUCUUCUCAUGAUCUGGAACAUGAGAAUGGUUAAACAGCUUAAACAUGGGUUGACAACUAGAGAAUGGUUUAUGUUAUGUUGUUGUUAUGUUAUGUUAUGUUAUGUUAUGUUAUGUUAUGUUAUGUUAUGUUAUGUUAUGCUAUGCUAUGUUGUGUUAUUAUUUUACACCAUUGCUGUAAUCCAAAGGGCAUGUGCUGGUUCCACCAUGGUAUGUCACUCCUGUGACUGUAGGUUUCAAUAUGCAACGUAAGAAAAAAAUCUGUGAGUGUCUUAGGGAAGGAUAAAAUGCAGAGACAGACUUCUAAGUAUGGCAAGUAAUGAGAUGGAGUCCUAUCCUGGAUUUUCUUUUUUUAAAACACACACAUACAAAAUAAAUGGAAGCAUUAACAAGGCUUGGUUGAGAGGAGAUCUACAGAUUUAUGGCUUCCUGUCUCCACCAGCAGAUGUCAUUGUGGCUGGCAGAACAGAAUGCCUUUUAAGAAGGAUUGGGGGUGGGAUUACAAAGGCUGGGGCGGGGGGGGGGGAGAAGAGAGAGAGAAGAAAAAUCUGGUGUCCAUUUUUAUACAUCAGCCAGAGUCCGUUUACAAUUUUGAGCAGAACUGACACUGCACAGGAUCAGCAGGCUUGCUCCUUCUGCUAUUUAUAACUAAGUAGGGGAAAGUAAUUUAGCUUUAUUUUUAUUAUUUUUUAUUUCCAAGUCUGGGGAAAAGCCCACACGAGUUGCCAAAAGGGUUUUUGCACAUUUAGUGGCACUGAUGAUGAUGGAGAAUAAUUAAUAAAUAAAGUAGUGAGCAAUCAGCCCUGCAUUCCCUCCCCCCUCCCCUUCACUUGUCCAAUGGAAAGGGAUUGACUGGGAUUUAAAUGUUUUAUUCUGCAGUUGAAACUAUAGAUUUUGGAAUGAAAUUAAUGACACCUGCUUUUUUUCUAAUUACACUAUAUUUUCUUCAUCUUGUGCUUGGCAAAAUAUUUAUGACUUGGCACAAAUAGAUCCUCAGACAAGAAUAGGAGUGAAAACAGGCAGAACAUUUUUUAAAGCAGAGGAGGACCUAUUUGGAAAUUGCAUUGACUGUUUUCAAAUAAAUGUACUGUACUUUCUCUCAAGGAUCCUCCUGAAUCAUCAUCAUCAUCAUCAUCACAUUGCCAGCAAAGGUCUGCAUAGUUAAAGCUAUGGUUUUCCCAGUAGUGAUGUAUGGAAGUGAGAGCUGGACCAUAAAGAAGGCUGACCACCGAAGAAUUGAUGCUUUUGAAUUAUGGUGCUGGAGGAGACUCCUGAGAGUCCCAUGGACUGCAAGAAGAUCAAACCUAUCCAUUCUGAAGGAAAUCAGCCCUGAGUGCUCACUGGAAGGACAGAUCGUGAAGCUGAGGCUCCAAUACGUUGGCCACCUCAUGAGAAGAGAAGACUCCCUGGAAAAGACCCUAAUGUUGGGAAAGAUUGAGGGCACAAGGAGAAGGGGACGACAGAGGACGAGAUGGUUGGACAGUGUUCUCGAAGCUACCAGCAUGAUUUUGACCAAACUGCAGGACGCAAUGGAAGACAGGAGUGCCUGGCGUGCUCUGGUCCAUGGGGUCACAAAGAGUCGGACACGACUAAACAACUCAACAACAAAAAUAGUAAUAUCUGGUUCUGCAUGUUGAUUGUGGACAGUUCUGAUUGGCUAACACCCAUAACGUCACCAGAAAACUUCUGCUGAGACCCUAGAGAUAUAUCUAUGAAUAUGGCACCAGCCCACCCGUUGGACAUGUGGGUCAAGCUUUGUCCGGCAGCCAGAACGGAAGAGUGCAGAAAACCAGCCAGCGGCUACAUUUCCCUAUUGAUGGGGGCAACAGCCAAUGGUAACAGGCAUUUACCCAGAACCAUAUUUUCAGCCAAAAUGAUUUGGAAAAGCUUUCCUCAAAAUAUAAUAAAAUUGCCUAGGCAGUGAAGUAUCCCCAGGACCCUGCAGCAACUCUCUCCAUCAUGAACAAAAAGAAUUAGAGGAGGAAUUUCCUGUGCUUGAGCAAUGCUCUGGAAUGUUCCUGAAUUUUUGGUCACUUUUGAUUUGAAUUUGCUCUCAGGUCCUGACUUCUGGCUUUGUUCCUUGACUCCAGUUCCCGAUCAGCUCUAGUCCUUGGUUCCUCUCAUUCAGACUGCUGAAACCCUACGAACCUGUUUAGAAAGAGGCACUGUACAAUAAUUAAGUGAAAUAGAAUAAACCUUGCUUACAGUGUUUUUAAUCCCUUUGUUUUUAAAGGAUAAGACAAUUAGGAAGUAGGGUAGAUGCAAAAAGAAGGGUUGAGUAUUAAAAAAGUAUUUUUUGGGGGGGAGUGGGAGAUAAGUGGCAGAACAAACCUAGACUGAUACCC